CCUACGGGGCGCAGCAGUGAGGAAUAUUGGUCAAUGGGCGUAAGCCUGAACCAGCCAAGUCGCGUGAGGGAUGAAGGUUCUAUGGAUCGUAAACCUCUUUUAUAAGGGAAUAAAGUGUGGGACGUGUCCUGUUUUGUAUUUACCUUAUGAAUAAGGAUCGGCUAACUCCGUGCCAGCAGCCGCGGUAAUACGGAGGAGCCGAGCGUUAUCCGGUUUUAUUGGGUUUAAAGGGUGCGUAGGCGGCCUUUUACGUCAGCGGUGAAAGUCUGUGGCUCAACCAGAGAAUUGCCGUUGAAACUGGGAGGCUUGAGUAUGUUUGAGGCAGGCGGAAUGCGUGGUGUAGCGGUGAAAUGCUUAGAUAUCACGCAGAACCCCGAUUGCGAAGGCAGCCUGCCAAGCCAUGACUGACGCUGAUGCACGAAAGCGUGGGGAUCAAACAGGAUUAGAUACCCUUGUAGUC
rnacentral:rRNA from 1 species